rnacentral:rRNA from 1 species
CGGACGAGUGAGUAACGCGUGGAAAACCUGCCGUAUACUGGGGGAUAACACUUAGAAAUAGGUGCUAAUACCGCAUAAGCGCACAGCUUCGCAUGAAGCGGUGUGAAAAACUCUGGUGGUAUACGAUGGUUCCGCGUCUGAUUAGCUAGUUGGUGGGGUAAUGGCCUACCAAGGCAACGAUCAGUAGCCGGCCUGAGAGGGUGAACGGCCACAUUGGGACUGAGACACGGCCCAAACUCCUACGGAAGGCAGCAG